AGCAGUCGCCACGGGAAUACGUAGGUGGCAAGCGUUGUCCGGAAUUAUUGGGCGUAAAGGGCUCGCAGGCGGUUUCUUAAGUCUGAUGUGAAAGCCCCCGGCUCAACCGGGGAGGGUCAUUGGAAACUGGGAAACUUGAGUGCAGAAGAGGAGAGUGGAAUUCCACGUGUAGCGGUGAAAUGCGUAGAGAUGUGGAGGAACACCAGUGGCGAAGGCGACUCUCUGGUCUGUAACUGACGCUGAGGAGCGAAAGCGUGGGGAGCGAACAGGAUUAGAUACCCCCGUAGUCCCUGUCUCUUAUAC
rnacentral:rRNA from 1 species